AUGCAAAUUAUUGAUUUAGCCUCAAAUAACUUUUCUGGGAAUUUGCAUCCGGAAUGGUUCGAGAAACUAGAAACUAUGAUGUCAAAUUCUACAAGCGAGGGUGAUGUUCUGGCCUUUCAGCGGAUUGGAUCAUCUAAUAAAUUAUACCAAGAUAGUAUGGUCGUCACAUUUAAAGGGAGUGAUCUUACAUUUACCAAGAUCCUAACCACUUUCAAGAUGCUUGAUUUCUCAAACAACGCAUUUGAUGGUCCCAUCCCAGACUCAGUUGGGAAUCUUAUUGCUCUACAUGGUCUGAACAUUUUCACAUAA
rnacentral:rRNA from 1 species